AGAACUGCUACUGACAACACAACGUCUCACCCAGCGAGACAGCACGGGAGAGGUACCUUGUGAUUCCUGGGACCUGUGAAACAGAAAUAAAUGUAUCUAUACUCUGAAGCCCCCAGUGAAGGCAUCAAAUGUUCUGAAAAAGGCUGUCUGGCCUGCAUGGGAAAUCAUGCUCUGGAACCUGCAGAGACCAAGCAGGAUGCAUCCCUGAGGAUGGCAGAGUCCCUGGCACAUGUGUGGAGGUAUUUCCAUGAGCUCAGUCACAGCUCCCCCUUCGUGAGGGCAGGGCCAGUGGAUUGCUGCCUUUUUGGAUGGCCUCCAAUGACACAGCAAACCAGAGGAAAGCCACGCUGCUGUCAGACCACGCUGUGACAGGAGCAGGCAGGGACCAGGGCUCUGCCUCCCCCCGUGUCGCUCUGCACGUGCCCUGCCUGCCCCUACAGAGCUUCUCUCUCUGAGGCUGCGUUUGGUGACUGGCCCAGGUAACAGCUCUACUGUCGCCCUGAAGCCUUCUGGUAAUGUUUUCAUAGUUUUAGUUACUUUCCCAUGGAAGUUCGAUAAACGUAAGUUGUUUACCAAAUUCCUUCUAAGAAGCAUCUUUUGAUGGAUGUUUCGCAUGACCAGUGUGCUUGGGAAGAUGGUAACUUAAUUAUCCAAUCCCUGGUCAUUGUCAAGAAUCUAUAAAUACUGGAGUCAGAGAAUAAAGGUUACUUCAUUCCUGUUCUAACA
rnacentral:lncRNA from 1 species